rfam:Felis catus isolate Cinnamon breed Abyssinian chromosome C1, whole genome shotgun sequence.
GCCUGGCUGGCUCAGCUGGUGGAGCAUGUGACUCUUGAUCUUAGGGUUCUGAGUUCAAACCCCAUGCUGGGUG